AGACAGAAUGAAACUGGCGGGCAUGGAGCGCUUUCUGAUGGCACUCCGGACACGACCCGCUCCUUGAGCAGGAGGUGGGGUAGGGGAGAGAACAGGCUCUGGCGGCAGGUCAGCCAGAGGAGAGAAUAAGUUAGAGAAUGGCAUAUAAUCACCACCGAUACCGAGCGGGUCAUAUAGGGGGAGAGAGAGCCCUCUGUGACCCUUAACAACAGACGUUCAGGAGUGGGGAAAAGGUGAAGUCAGGCCAGGUGCGUCAGAUGGUUAGCCGCUGCUGAAGAGGCCAAGAGCCGCUGGCUACUCGCAAACUCGAGACUCGUUAGCCAUUAACACAGCCCCGUCGGCCGCAGUAAGGACGUCUGAAGAGCAGGGAUAAAACUUAAUCGCCCGGGCUCCGCACAGGAGCCCACAACGGUGAAACGGCAGAUUUCCGACCAAAAAUAGAGGAGAAACCGAACACCGGCCCGCUGCGGAUGUAUGAGCUCUGUCCUGGAGAUGAGUGCACAAGAUGUGAUCUAGCAGGUGUUUCCUCUCCAUGAGCAGAGUAUCCUGCGCCAGCUGAUGAUGGCUUGGGUCCAGCCUGUUUGUGAAACACAACCCUUUGGUCACUAGAACAAGAUACACUCACACAGUGAAACUCUGACGUUCACAUACUAGUACAAUAAAGUACUUUUGACACUGUUUGAAUCACAUACUUCACAUCUUUUUUUUUUACUUCUUAACUUCAAUUUACAUUAUUGUGACUACUUUGGGGUGAAGAUUGCCAUGUAUUUUGCCUAGCCAGUUUUCUAAAAACCCUUCAACCUUAUAUCCUGCUGUGAUCAGCCUUGUGCUAUGGAUGCUCACCGAGUCACAUCAGCGCUGGCGUACUAGUGGGGUAACGCCGGACGGGCCCGUUGAAUCCCUGAAGGAACCACAUCCUUAGUUCGGGAGGGAGUCAAAUGCUGCAGUCCUAUAAAAGGAUGUGAGGAGUUCUACUACCCUCCAUUGCAAAGACAUGUGUCUUCCCCCUGGCCCCUGUGUAGCCUGAAGCCUUUAUUCUGUCUACUUUUGAUUGACUGAUUGACUCUGCAAGACCAUCCUCCAUUGGCGUUUCACCUCUCUGCACCAUCUGUUGCCGGGGGUUUGCUUAGACAUGUGAAAUUCCUCUGCAAUGCCACGGCACCCAGAGACGGCGUUGUCAAUGACAGUGAUUGUGCCCGGUGUACUGGUAAUAAGAAAUGGAUACCUCUGUUGUUCAUGGCAACACCGUCAGCUGUAGAAGUGGCUUUGCAGAGAAAUUGCACAAGUUAAACCAAGCUCCCACUGCUCCAUGUCUUGCUGACGGUGGACGUCACUUUGAUCCAUCUCCCUCCAUUGCAGCCUACACCGGUGUUCAACCUCAUCCCAUCUGCAGCUGUCUUCUAAUGUUGCUGUACCGUGAAAUCAGGUGUAGCACACAUUGUUAUGUCAUUAUGUCAGAUAUUUACAAAUAUGUAAUACUGCUGUGAAACAUAUGAUGAAACACAAGGAGAAAAUACUGCAGUGUUUCUGAAGCCACUUUGUAUACAAAGUUAAGUUGGAUAAACACUUUGUUGUAUAGUUUUGAUAUAGUUGGAUCUAGUUAGGGUUGGAUCAUGUUGAUUAAUUUUCAUUUCAUUGCUGUGAUUUGUGAAGGCAGAAGACUACCCUGUACUACUGGAAAACCCACAGCUGUUGCCAGUUGUCUUAUCUUUUCAAUGAAACUGUAUGCUCCUGUCUAAUUAACCGCUACUGACACCUUGUGGUUUAAAAGUGUAACACCACCUAAUCGUCACACCAGUGGGUAAAAUUCUCAGCUGUCAGGAUGUGUUCCCCCUGAUAUGAUGGACAAAUUUAGUGAUAUCAGUCUGAAAAUCACAAGACUUAGUUGUUAUGAGGAAACAUGUCAGCAGUAUGAAUUUGAGAGGUGUGUGAGCUUGCGUUCCUAUUAAACAAAGGGGGAACAGUA